rnacentral:lncRNA from 1 species
AAAAUAUUCAUACCAGUAACUAUUUUUAAAGUUAAUUUAAAAACUAUUUCUUUUUUCAUUUUAAUCUCAAAUAUUGCUAGUGAAAUUUUAUGUGAUAUCUUUACUUACAGACAAUCCCAAAAGGUACUGAAAGUUAAGAACAUUGCUUAGAGGAAAAGAUGGUAUGACUUCAUACUCAGUGCCUCAUUAUCCCAUACUGCAGUUUGGCUUUGAACCACCAAUCCCAGAAGACACUAUCGUAUUAUUCUCCAAUAAAUCUUUUGUACUUUAAACUUCAUCUCAGCUUCUUCAUCCUGGAGAACCCAAGGCAACACAAGGAAUAUUUGAUGAAACUAAGGCAAAGGUUUGCUGGUUUUAUUUGUUUUCUUUUGUUUUGAUGAAAAGUAAAUUUUUCUUGUUGUUUUUGCACUCUCAGUCUACAUUACAGU